CGGGUGGUGAGGGGCCCGGGCCGGAUGGCGCGCCUUAGAGAGGAUGAUGUUCGUGCUGCUUUCCGUGCCGUGUUUUCUGAAAGCUUAAAUACAGACCAGAAGAGGAGUUUGGGGCUUGACACCUGACAUCUUAACACCAGUUCCUGUUUCUUGAGGAAGGAAGAGGUAAAAUAAAUCAGCGUUUACUGUUUCCUUCUCCAUCCCCGGAAGUCCUGAUGAAGACCCUCUCAGCUUCAACUUGAACGUGAAUAUGAGCAACUGAUCAUCUGUUCUGCAGUCAGCCCCUGGCCUGAUUCUGACUCAUGGUAUUGACCUUCUCCAUCAUCACCUUCCACAAAUUUGAUUCCUGUCUAUUCUGCCUGGAAUGGUUCAUGAGUAUAGUCACCGUUUAUGUUCCUGAUGAAAGGUAUGUGCAAUGAAUAAGUCAUUGGUCUUGCCAAAUUCUAUCAUGUAAGCUUCAUUGUCAUUUCUAUCAUCAAUACCUUAUUUUCCAACUGCUGAUUUGUCUGCUUUGUUUUCAACUUCGCAUUCUAAAUGAUUGAUCAAUGCAUCACAUUUGAUCAGUUUCAAACUGCAUAACUUGGUAAAAACCUUCAACUUGUUCAUCUUUCACAUUCAUGAUUUGUGUGUAAAUUUGAAUAAUAGUCUUAUUAACUGGUCUUCCUGGUAGGCCUGUGGAUAUUAUCCUAUUGCUCGUAAUGUUGUACUUCAGAAAAGAUCUUGAAAUGUUCUUUUUAUCGAUGAAUAUGAUGCCAUUCUCUUCAGUAUCUCAAUCCUGGCAUAGUAGGACAUAUCAUUGUCUAGUUUAAAAUGUCCAAAACCAAGCUAUUUCAGCUAACUAAUGCCUUGGAUUACUGACCUUUAUGCAUUCCAUUUGAUUUUUGAUGACUUCCAAUUUCCCUAGAUUCAUACUUCCUUCAUUCCACAUUCUGAUUAUUAAAGGAUAUUUGCAUCAGUUUCUUCUCAUUAUGAGUUAUGCCCCAUCAGGAAAUGUCAUUAAAGUGGGAUCUACUUUGAGGAGGUAGCUCUUCCCCACUCGUAUUUUGAGUGCCUUCCAACCUAAGGGGUUAUCCUCUGUCAUUCAAUCAGACAGUGUUCCAGUACUAUUUGGAAGAUUUCACUGGCCAGUUUUUUUUAGAAAUAGAUCACUAGGUCCUUUUUCCUAGUCUGUCUAAAUCCAGAGCUCCACUCAAAGCUGUCUACCAUGUGUGAACCUGGUGGUAUUUGAAAUACCGGUGGCAUAGCUUCUAACAUCACAGCAACAUGCAAGCCACCACACUACAACAAACUGACAGAAGAGUGGUGGGAGUUAAAAAUGAGAAGAACCAAAAAGAGUGCUUCUUCCAUGUCUGCUGAUUUAGAGGAACCAUGAAAAAUUGUCAAGUGAAGAGUGAUUCAGAGAAAAACAUGGGUAGAGUGUGACCUAAUUUCCAUAAAAACAAACAAAUGAAUGUACUUACGUGUGUCCCGGCAAAAAGCAGUGUGUAAAAGGGUACAUAUGUAUCUUUGGACACUGGACACUUUGGGGAGCAGGUACAAUAUACUUAUGAGGGGGUGGCUCUUAUUAUAACUUCUAUAUACAAGUCUCUAUUGUUAAAUAUGUUAUAAGAAUGUAAAACCUUUUAAAGUUAAUAACAUCAUACGUGUAUGUGUGUGUAUUUGAAACUUUUUUUCUGUUUUGACUAUUUUAUAUAUGUGUUUUUUAGUUAUCUAGUGUGGCUAUAGCAGAGAUACCACAAGUGGAUGGCUUUAACAAACAGAAGCUUAUUCUCUCACAGUUUAAGAAGCAACAAGUUUGAAGUCAGGGCACCAGCUCUAGGAGAAAGCUUUCUCUCUUUGUGGCUCUGGGGAAAAGUCCUUGUCAUCUAUCUUCCCCUGGCCUAGGAAGUUCUCAGCCUGUGGACACUGGGUCAAAAAGACCUGCUCCACUCCAGGCACUUCUUCCUUGGUGGUAUGAGGUCCCUCUCAUUUCUGCUCACUUUUCUCUUUUUAUGUCAAAAGAGACUGACUCAAGACUCACCCUAAUCCUGUAGAUUGUGUCCUCCCUCAUUAACCUAACUGCCUCUAAUCCUGCCUCAUUAACAUCACAGAGGUUAGAAUUUACAACACAUAAGUAAUCACAUCAGAUCACAAAAUGCAGGACAACCACACAAUACUGGGAAUCAGGGUCUGGCCAGGUUGACACACAUUUUGGGGGACACUAUUCAAUCCAUAACAAUAGAGAAAACACUGUCUUCAAUGCCAGAUUCAGAGACUUUUAUCCAUCUGUGAAGGGCAAACACAGAAACUGAACAAAAUUCAGACCAGCGAAUUAUUGCUUGCUCUUGUAACUAAUGACUUCUUCUGGUCUCUAUGCCUGGAAAUGGCCAAAAAGAAUUCUGUGAGGAUUAAUUCAGUUAUUGCUCAAACAUCUACUGCAUUUACAUGUCUACAGAUAAGGAAGAAUGCUGGACACCAUGUGUGAUUCAUUAAGUAACACGGGGACCAUUAGACUAUUGUUCUCCUUCUCUGAUAUGCCACUAUCACCUUCUCCCCUUGUUGCUCUCCUGAAAAACCCACACUUGUAUAUUCUAGGCUUUUUUUCAGGAUUGAAUUUGCAGGAAGUUAAAGAUACAUCUUUGAAAGAUAAAGAAGACUUUGGCCACAUUGUCUUUAGACAGUUGAACUUCCCAGCCAACCUCUGUGCAGGAUGGGAAUUCACAAUCCCUCCUACUCAGUACCUCUGAGCAGGACGGGAUUUCUGUUUCAUUAUCAGGAGACUGUGGAAUUCACCCCUCUUCAGAAAACUUACUUUCCUUUGCCUCAAACUGUCCCUCUCAGGAUCUGUCACGGUCACUCUGAGAAAUUCACAUGGGCAGCCUGUAUGGAAGUGCCCAUCCUAGAGGCCCUGCCCUCCCUUCCUUGCUCCAUAGGGCUACCUCUGACACUUGGGGUCGCAUCUCCCAGGGAGUACACACCUCUGGCACUUCCAGGGAUUCCCAGGCCCUGGGAUACUGUGGAUGGGACUUGGAACUCAAUCUGUUUCUUCCCAUCCUCACCUUUGGUUAUCUGUGUUCUGUCUUCACCAGAUUUAGGAGGCCUUGUCUUCUCUUUGCUCGUUUCAUCUCAGUCAGGCUUUUCUAUUCCAACUCUCUGAUCUCAGGACAGAUCA